rnacentral:rRNA from 1 species
UUGAAAGGGAAACGAUUGAAGUCAGUCGUACCAGCGGGAAAUCAACCUUUCGAGUGGGGGUUUUGGAGUUUUUGAAGAGUGUCAAAACCUUUGAGAUUUCAAAAUAUUCGCUCUUUUGGUGUACUUUCUCGUGGGUAGGUUAACAUCGAUUUUGAUCAUCAUAAAAAGAUUGGAGGAAUGUAGCUUCGAUCUUGUAUUGAAGUGUUAUAGCCUUUGGUAAAUGUGAUGAUUAGGAUCGAGGAUUGCAACGAAUACCCUUUUGGGCUAUCCGCCUGAUCUCUGAUACGUGGCCUUGGUAUCGAAAGCGUGCUUAUGGUAUUGAGGUAUUACGGUCAAAAGGUUAGAACGGAUUACAUUCGUUAAGGAUGUUGACGUA